GUUUCACUGUGGUAGCCAGGAUGGUCUCGAUCUCCUAACCUCGUGAUCCACCCGCCUUGACCUCCCAAAGUGCUAGGAUUACAGGCGUGAGCCACCACACCUGACCCAAGAAGUGACUUUUGGCUUUGCUGACAUACAGAAGGAUUAUUUUAAGUUUAUACAGAACUCCAAUUUCAUGAAACCAUACUGUGCCAAGCCAGGAAAUAAACAGCAACAGUCUAGCCGAGCCACGCCAACCAAACGG